UGGGGAAUAUUGGACAAUGGGCGCAAGCCUGAUCCAGCGACGCCGCGUGUGUGAAGAAGGCCUGCGGGUUGUAAAGCACUUUCGAUGGGAACGAAAUGUGCCGGGUUAAUACCCCGGUAAGCUGACGUUACUCAAUGAAGAAGCACCGGCUAACUCUGUGCCAGCAGCCGCGGUAAUACAGAGGGUGCGAGCGUUAAUCGGAAUUACUGGGCGUAAAGCGCACGUAGGUGGCGACGUAAGUCGGGUGUGAAAGCCCCGGGCUUAACCUGGGAAUUGCGCUUGUAACUGGCGGGCUAGAGUGCAGAAGGGGCAAUCGGAAUUCUUGGUGUAGCGGUGAAAUGCGUAGAUAUCAAGAGGAACACCUGAGGUGAAGACGGGUUGCUGGGCUGACACUGACGCUGAGGCGCGAAAGCCAGGGGAGCAAACGGGAUUAGAUACCCGAGUAGUCCCUGAGCGGGCUGGCAAGGCGCAU
rnacentral:rRNA from 1 species